GCGACAGAGCGAGACUCCGUCUCAAAAAGAAAAAAAAAGAAAAAAAAGAGGGCAGGAAGAGGAAACAACAGUUGCGGAGCUGGACUUGAUGGAAGGGAGCAUUUGCGUGCGGCGCGCAGGGCACUGAGUCACCAUCGUGGCCGCGUCCUCGCGCUCUCCUAGCGAUUUCUCCGGAGAAAGCGGAGCAAGGUCAGCCGGGCAGCCCUUCAAGGACGGCGCGCCGCUCCUGCAUGCUGAUGGCCUGCGGGGCUGCCUGCCCGUGCCCCGGCGCCCAACUCCUACAAGGAAGAAAUUCAGGGGCUCCCCGCCCCCGCCACAGUCCUCUUCCCCCUCCCCAGCUGCAACUCGGCAGCCGUUCGUCAAAGACCCUGUUGUCACCGAGACACUGGGACCUUGUCUCAUCCUUGGAACCACUCGUAAAUCUUAGGUCAGGCAGCCGGCAGCCUUCGGGGACCACAGUCCCCCCAAAGCUUUAGGAAGCCAGUUACUACAUCCGGAAAGAUUCGUGCUUCAGAACGCAAGCCAGGGAGAAUAAUCACAGAAACGCAAUGCGAAUGUCGUGCCUCUCAGAAAUUCUUAGCCUGAAAUACCGUCCCCACCCCCCAACCCGGCCAGGCGACAGUCCUGUCAUCCUAACACCGCAGAGGCUCCAAGCGCUGGGAGUCGUGUGCCCGCGGCGCUCGCCACUGAGGCCGGUUGGAAGAUUCUAGGGUGCCCCUUCCCAGGUUCCAGCAGGCACUCCGGGAUGUUCUAGAGUCAGGCCAGGGAUUCAACAGCGAACCUGACCGAAACUCAAACCUCAGCACAAGAACUUUGAUGGGGGAAGUGCCCAGACUCCAAUACUCUCGACCUUGGCAUUUAGUAGUUUCUUCUUUGAACUGGAAAGAUCAAAUAAUGCACAGUAAAAUCUCAUGAUAAGGGUUCCACCAAGAAUUCGGGAUUUGUGUUAAUUCAUAAGGCAGAAGUGGCCCCUGUGCUAUCCAUGAAGAGUUUCUGUAUUUCUCUGCAAGGUCACAGGUAGGCUUUUUAACCAAUUAAAGAAAAACUCCAACAUUUAGAGGGCCCAUUAUUAUAAUAAUUCCUGUAUUUGUUUGCUGUCUGGCACAUAAAAACGUGCUUCACUUGCAUAUAUUAAUGAAUUUUCACCUCCUAGCCCCUGGCUAACCCAUUUUACAGCUGAAAGGACUAAAGCAACAGAUGCCCAAAGUAACUCACCUAGCAACAAGUCUUGGGAUUCUGAGAUGAGGUUCUUUCUCCCACACACACAGGCAGGCUGGCUUCUUGGGAGUGGGACUUGUUCAUUUGUCCCCACCACCACCAUUGAUUUUGACUGAUUGCUCCACUCUUGCUGUCUUCAAACUUUUGAACAAGGGGGUUUGCAUUUCUCUUUGCACUGGGCCAAAUUAUGAGGUAGGUCCUACACACAGGCUCCAAGAUGACAGUACUAAUUUUUCACUAAUUUUUCUCUACUUGGUGCUCAAGUGUAGAGUUUGAGGGGUACUAUCAUCUUCACUCCAGGCAAGGCACUGUUGUUUCUUUUGUAUUCCUGCUUAUUCUCCACCCCAUCAGGUGCUCACUCUGAUACCUGUCUUUGAGUGCUGUUUUCUUGGAAAAACAAAUCUAUUUUCAAGAAAUGAAUCAAAAUUAUCCUAAGAACUUUUUAAUUGCAAUAUAAUGCAUUUACAGAAAAGUACACAAAUCAUAAAUGUUCAGGUCGCUGUGUUUUCACAAGCUGAACACACCCAUGUAACCAGUACACAGAUCAAUUAUCGGCCCCCAGGAGUCCCCUCAUGUUCCUAUCUGGUUACUAUGUACUCAAGAGUAACCACUGUUCUGAAUCCUAACCCCAAAGAUCAGUGCUUCCUGUUUUGUGUUUUAUAUAAAUGCAAUUAUACAUUAUAUAUUAUUUUGUGUCUGCCUUCUUUUGCUUAACGUUGCUAUGAGAUUUAUCCAUGCUGUUGCAUGUGGUGGGCAGAAUUACAAGAAGACCCCCAAGAUUCCUCACCCCUUCUUGUAUGCACAUUCCCAUAGGUAUUGAUCUAGGCGCUGCUGUGAAGGGAAUUUGCAGAUGUAAUUGGCCUAAAUCAGUUGGCUUUAAUAUCAGGAAAUUGUCCUCAGUGGGCAUGGCCAUAUGGAGCCCUUACAAGGGACUGGGCUCUUCCUGGUGAAAAAGAUUUGAAUCACGAGAGUGGCUGAUAUGAGGGAAAUUCUUUGCUGUUGCCUUCGAAGACAGAAGAGGUCCACAAGGCAAAGGAUGCAGACAGCCUGUAGGAGCUGAGACUGGCUCCUGGCUGACAGCCAGCAAGGAAAUGAGGACCUCAGUCCUCCAAUCAUGAAGCAGACUCCGACUUCUGCUAACAACCUGAAUACACUUCAAAGAGGAUUCUGAGCUCCAGCCGCCUACACAUUGAUUUCAGCUGUUGGGACCCUCAGCCGAGAACCCAGCUAUGCCGUGCCCAGAUGUAAGACCUACACAUCUGUGAGCUUCAGGAGAAUGUGAGCAUGGCACAUGGCAAUCCAGAAAAAAGACUGCAUUUCCCAGCCUCCCUUACAGCUGCUGAGACCACAGGGCUAAGUUCCUGCCAAUGAGAGGUAGGCAUCAAUUUGCAACUUACAGGAACCUUUCUGAGGAGGAUUAGCCUUUGUCCCUCCUUUUCCUCCCUUCCUCCAUCCUGCUGCUUGGUUUGUGAAUGCUGCUACCUUAGACCAUAAGGACAGAAAACAUGUCCCGGGACUGGCAGAGCAGUAAGCCAAAAGGAACCAGGGUCCCGUAAGACGAUGGAGCAGAGCCUUUUUACCAGCCCUGGAUAGCAAAGUUCUAAACAAAUAUAUGUCUAGAUUAUUUAAGCCACUGACAGCUUGGGUUGUCUUGGUAUUUGUGACAGAAACUAAUACUAGUUCAAUGGCUUUUGAGUAGAGCCCUAAAAGAAAUGAGGGAGCAAAGCAUGUAGAUAUCUGGAAGAAAAAGCAUUCUAAGAGGAAAAAAAAAACAAGGGUAAAAGCUCCUGAUGUGGGGUCAUGCUCAGAGUAUUUGAGGAACAGCAAGGAAGCUAGGGUGCCU
rnacentral:lncRNA from 1 species